ensembl:lncRNA
AUGCUGCAUGAGGAUGAUGAGCGGUCUGCAAAAAACAUUCAGAACCAACUUCAGUCCAGACUGCAAUUACAAGUAUCAACCCGCACAAUCAGGAGGUCAAUAAAACAACUUGGAUGGACAUACGGCAAAUCCAGGACAGACCCUAUGAUUCGUGACAACAACAAGGCCCUGCGUCUUAGUCAAGUUCAGCAGUGGUUAUCUGUCCAAGAGACAUUUGACAACGUGAUCUUUUCUGACGAAACUACCGUGGCUUUGGAGCGCUUUGCUCUGAUGUGCUACAAGAAAAGGGGUCGCCGGGUUGUGAAACCAAAAGCUAAGCAUCCUGUAAAGCUUCACGUUUGGGGAGCCAUAUCCCGUCAGGGACCGGGACCGAUAGUUGUGUUUGAUGGAAUUAUGGACAAGCAUUUUUAUCAAGAGAACAUCAUAAAAUCUAAUUUGGCACCGUACAUAAGACAACACUUUAAAGGAUCUCAUCGCUUCUUCCAAGGUAAAUUUUUACGAACUGUGUUGUGAUCUUUUCUGAUUUUAAUGACUGAAAGUUGAAUAAGCGUUUAAUGUUUAAUGUUUAUUAUUAUUAUUAUUAUUAUUAUUAUUAUUAUUAUUAUUUUAACAGACAAUGACCCGAAACAUACAGCCGCGAGGCAGUAUAUUGCUGAGGAGGGGAUCAACUGGGUGAAAACACCAGCUGAGUAUGUUUGUGUCUGUUCAUUUUUUUAUUCUGGUUUACGAAAUGUACAUUUGACAAAAUCGUCCAACUUGUCAUUUUGUUUUCGCAUGCAGAUCACCAGAUCUUAAUCCAAUCGAGCUGGUGUGGCACGCACUGAAGGAAUUCAUCAGACGUCAGGUCAAGCCAAGAAAUAAAGACGAGCUUCUUGAGGCCA